rnacentral:rRNA from 1 species
AGAGUUUGAUCCUGGCUCAGAGUGAACGCUGGCGGCAGGCCUAAUACAUGCAAGUCGAACGGCAGCACAGCAGAUCUUGCUCUGUGGGUGGCGAGCGGCGGACGGUCGAGGAAUACGUGCGAAUCUGCCCAGGCAUGCGGGAUCACGUACGGAAAGAUAACCUCAUACCGCAUGUUCCCUUCGGAGGAAUGCCCGGGACCUUCAGGCCUGUGCUGAUUGGAUGAAGCCUCAUCGGAUUAACUAUUUGGCGGGGUAACGGCACACCGAGGCGACGAUCCGUACCUGAUCCGAGACGAUGACCCCCCCCGCCGGAACUGAGGCACCCUCGCGACUCCCGCCGGAGGCCGCCCUAUGGAAUAGUGGAGAGUGGGAGGAAACCCCAUACCG